GAUUAGUGGCGAACGGGUGAGUAACACGUGGGCAAUCUGCCCUUCACUCUGGGACAAGCCCUGGAAACGGGGUCUAAUACCGGAUACGACCACUGGAGGCAUCUUCGGUGGUGGAAAGCUCCGGCGGUGAAGGAUGAGCCCGCGGCCUAUCAGCUUGUUGGUGGGGUAAUGGCCUACCAAGGCGACGACGGGUAGCCGGCCUGAGAGGGCGACCGGCCACACUGGGACUGAGACACGGCCCAGACUCCUACGGGAGGCAGCAGUGGGGAAUAUUGCACAAUGGGCGAAAGCCUGAUGCAGCGACGCCGCGUGAGGGAUGACGGCCUUCGGGUUGUAAACCUCUUUCAGCAGGGAAGAAGCGAAAGUGACGGUACCUGCAGAAGAAGCGCCGGCUAACUACGUGCCAGCAGCCGCGGUAAUACGUAGGGCGCAAGCGUUGUCCGGAAUUAUUGGGCGUAAAGAGCUCGUAGGCGGCUUGUCACGUCGGAUGUGAAAGCCCGGGGCUUAACCCCGGGUCUGCAUUCGAUACGGGCAGGCUAGAGUGUGGUAGGGGAGAUCGGAAUUCCUGGUGUAGCGGUGAAAUGCGCAGAUAUCAGGAGGAACACCGGUGGCGAAGGCGGAUCUCUGGGCCAUUACUGACG
rnacentral:rRNA from 1 species